rnacentral:rRNA from 1 species
AACGAACGCUGGCGGCAGGCUUAACACAUGCGAGUCGAACGCCCCGCAAGGGGAGUGGCAGACGGGUGAGUAACACGUGGGAACGUACCCUUUGGUUCGGAAUAACUUGGGGAAACUCAAGCUAAUACCGGAUAAGCCCUUAUGGGGAAAGGUUUACUGCCGAAGGAUCGGCCCGCGUCUGAUUAGCUAGUUGGUGAGGUAAUGGCUCACCAAGGCGACGAUCAGUAGCUGGUCUGAGAGGAUGAUCAGCCACACUGGGACUGAGACACGGCCCAGACUCCUACGGGAGGCAGCAGUGGGGAAUAUUGGACAAUGGGGGCAACCCUGAUCCAGCCAUGCCGCGUGAGUGAUGAAGGCCUUAGGGUUGUAAAGCUCUUUUACCCGGGACGAUAAUGACUGUACCGGGAGAAUAAGCCCCGGCUAACUUCGUGCCAGCAGCCGCAGUAA